UACGAAGGGGGCUAGCGUUGCUCGGAAUUACUGGGCGUAAAGGGCGCGUAGGCGGGUGUUUAAGUCAGAGGUUAAAUCCCAGGGCUCAACCCUGGAACUGCCUUUGAUACUGGGCACCUAGAGUUCGGGAGAGGUGUGUGGAACUCCGAGUGUAGAGGUGAAAUUCGUAGAUAUCAGGAGGAACACCUGUGGCGAAAGCGGCGCACUGGACCACAACUGACGCUGAGGCGCGAAAGCUAGGGGAGCAAACAGG
rnacentral:rRNA from 1 species